rnacentral:tRNA from 1 species
GCGCGGGUGGCGGAACUGGUAGACGCGCUGUCUUGAGGGGGCAGUGGCCGAAAGGUCGUGUGGGUUCAAGUCCCACCCCGCGCACCA